rnacentral:misc_RNA from 1 species
UCAUGACAUAAACAAGUACACAAAUGACUGUACAGAUCGUUCAUCAAUUGCACAGCUCGUGAGGCUGAUUGCAGCCAUUACACGACAAUUAAUUUCAUACAUCAACUGAUACGCUAAGAGCAUUCAGUUCGACGUGUUGCUUACCCUCUUGCUGCGGAUGAACUAUAACAGUAGCACAAGCCUCGGCCCUAGAGGAUGGAGAGUCCCCGACAACUCGAGAUAGUGCUAUCGAACUCACCAAUGGCUUCCCAUUACACAACUCGUCUAGUUUAUUUUGGUCAUUGGAGAUGAUCUCCCAUUCCUCUUUCAGAGCUGCUACUUCCAGACCCUUCUCCACGUGACUUUCGAUCUCGAAACCUGUUGGCAAGAUCACGUAGUCGUUCAGUGGGUCGUAGAAGGGGUCGGGGUCACCUGCUUUGAGCCAAUGCUUGAGGCUUCGGAACAAACGGUGGUCUCUAAGAACGCGCUGAUGCUCACCAGGGACCCCAAUCCUUGCAACUGCAUCAAGUCCAUCGGCCAUUGCCGAUUCCACUGGAACUGUCCCAUCACCAUCAACGCAAACAUACUUGGGCUCAAUGUAUCGCAGUUUAUGUAAAUCAGCGACAGGAUUUUCUGCAUCUCCAUAGCAAAUAGUAUGUGGUGUCUCAAGACCAGUUGCAUAUAUAUUGUAAAACUUGACUUGAGGAGGUAGUUUAGCACUCUUUAAAAUUUCCCUGGUCUCGUUUGCCCAUUUCAAAAUCUCCAUAUUAAAUGGCAGGGGAAUAUCCACUCCAUCAUGAAGAAUCGUGUUUGUUGAAAGAGAUUUUGUCAGUAUUUG